rnacentral:rRNA from 1 species
UACGGAGGGGGCGAGCGUUAUUCGGAAUCAUUGGGCGUAAAGGGCGCGUAGGCGGCCCCGUAAGUCUUGGGUGAAAGCCCUCGGCUCAACCGAGGAAUUGCCUUGGAUACUGCGGGGCUCGAGGCUGGAAGAGGGUAGCGGAAUUCCCGGUGUAGCGGUGAAAUGCGCAGAUAUCGGGAAGAACACCCGUGGCGAAGGCGGCUCUCUGGGACGGUACUGACGCUGAGAUGCGAAAGCGUGGGGAGCAAACAGG